AUUGAACGCUGGCGGCAUGCCUUACACAUGCAAGUCGAACGGUAACAGGUCUUCGGAUGCUGACGAGUGGCGAACGGGUGAGUAAUACAUCGGAACGUGCCCGAGAGUGGGGGAUAACGAGGCGAAAGCUUUGCUAAUACCGCAUACGAUCUCAGGAUGAAAGCAGGGGACCGCAAGGCCUUGCGCUCACGGAGCGGCCGAUGGCAGAUUAGGUAGUUGGUGGGAUAAAAGCUUACCAAGCCGACGAUCUGUAGCUGGUCUGAGAGGACGACCAGCCACACGUGGACUGAGAGACGGCCCAGACUCCUACGGGAGGCAGCAGUGGGGAAUUUUGGACAAUGGGCUCAAGCCUGAUCCAGCCAUGCCGCGUGCAGGAUGAAGGCCUUCGGGUUGUAAACUGCUUUUGUACGGAACGAAAAGACUCUGGUUAAUACCUGGGGUCCAUGACGGUACCGUAAGAAUAAGCACCGGCUAACUACGUGCCAGCCGCCGCAGUAACAC
rnacentral:rRNA from 1 species